rnacentral:rRNA from 1 species
UGGGGAAUAUUGGAUAAUGGGGGCAACCCUGAUCCAGCCAUGCCGCGUGAGUGAUGAAGGCCUUCGGGUUGUAAAGCUCUUUUGGCGGGGACGAUGAUGACGGUACCCGCAGAAUAAGCCCCGGCUAACUUCGUGCCAGCAGCCGCGGUAAGACGAAGGGGGCAAGCGUUGUUCGGAAUUACUGGGCGUAAAGGGCGCGUAGGCGGUUUGCUUAGUCAGGCGUGAAAGCCCUGGGCUUAACCUGGGAUGUGCGCUUGAUACUGGCAGGCUUGAGUGUGGGAGAGGUUGGUGGAAUUCCCAGUGUAGAGGUGAAAUUCGUAGAUAUUGGGAAGAACACCGGUGGCGAAGGCGGCCAACUGGACCACAACUGACGCUGAGGCGCGAAAGCGUGGGGAGCAAACA